rnacentral:rRNA from 1 species
GAUGACGCUGGCGGCGUGCCUAAUACAUGCAAGUCGAACGAGUUCUCGUUGAUGAUCGGUGCUUGCACCGAGAUUCAACAUGGAACGAGUGGCGGACGGGUGAGUAACACGUGGGUAACCUGCCCUUAAGUGGGGGAUAACAUUUGGAAACAGAUGCUAAUACCGCAUAGAUCCAAGAACCGCAUGGUUCUUGGCUGAAAGAUGGCGUAAGCUAUCGCUUUUGGAUGGACCCGCGGCGUAUUAGCUAGUUGGUGAGGUAAUGGCUCACCAAGGCGAUGAUACGUAGCCGAACUGAGAGGUUGAUCGGCCACAUUGGGACUGAGACACGGCCCAAACUCCUACGGGAGGCAGCAGUAGGGAAUCUUCCACAAUGGACGCAAGUCUGAUGGAGCAACGCCGCGUGAGUGAAGAAGGCUUUCGGGUCGUAAAACUCUGUUGUUGGAGAAGAAUGGUCGGCAGAGUAACUGUUGUCGGCGUGACGGUAUCCAACCAGAAAGCCACGGCUAACUACGUGCCAGCAGCCGCGGUAAUACGUAGGUGGCAAGCGUUAUCCGGAUUUAUUGGGCGUAAAGCGAGCGCAGGCGGUUUUUUAAGUCUGAUGUGAAAGCCCUCGGCUUAACCGAGGAAGCGCAUCGGAAACUGGGAAACUUGAGUGCAGAAGAGGACAGUGGAACUCCAUGUGUAGCGGUGAAAUGCGUAGAUAUAUGGAAGAACACCAGUGGCGAAGGCGGCUGUCUGGUCUGUAACUGACGCUGAGGCUCGAAAGCAUGGGUAGCGAACAGGAUUAGAUACCCUGGUAGUCCAUGCCGUAAACGAUGAAUGCUAGGUGUUGGAGGGUUUCCGCCCUUCAGUGCCGCAGCUAACGCAUUAAGCAUCCGUCCUG